rnacentral:rRNA from 1 species
UGAGCAAUCUGCCCUUCUCUUUGGAAUAAGCGUUGGAAACGACGUCUAAUGCCGAAUACGACCUCCUUUCGCAUGAUCGGAGGUGGAAAGCUCCGGCGGAGAAGGAUGAGCUCGCGGCCUAUCAGCUAGUUGGUGUGGGUAAUGGCCCACCAAGGCGACGACGGGUAGCCGGCCUGAGAGGGUGACCGGCCACACGUGGGACUGAGACACGGCCCAGACCUCCCGUACGGGGAGGNAGGCG